UCCGUAGGUGAACCUGCGGAAGGAUCAUUAGUGAAACACCGGAUUCCUCUGCAAAGAGAAGGUCCGACCCACUAUCACACACACUUGUGCACUUGUCAUUUUUUACAAAUCCAUUUUGUAUACACUUUUGCAUUUUGGAGGUUGAUUGAAACCAAUUUAAACGAAAGAAAAACUUUCAGCAAUGGAUCUCUUGGCUCUCGCAUCGAUGAAGAACGCAGCGAAACGCGAAAUGUAAUGUGAAUUGCAGAAUUCAGUGAAUCAUCGAAUCUUUGAACGCACCUUGCGCUCCAGGGUCAUUCCUUGGAGCAUGCUUGUUUGAGUGUCUAGUACCCCUCUCCACCCCGCCCUGUUACAGGGUUGCUCGGGCUGGGAUCAUGGACGCUUUGUCGGCUUUGGCCGACUGCGCUGAAAUUGAACAAGCUGAACCCACCUUGCGGCUUGACCUGUUGUUGUAAACUAAAUUCAAUGGGAACGCGAGCGAGGGACGAGCUUACCAGAACCGCCUUCGGGCACAGUGCAUUUUGACCUCAAAUCAAGUAGGACUACCCGCUGAACUUAAGCAUAUCAAUAAGCGGAGGA
rnacentral:rRNA from 1 species